UACGUAGGGUCCGAGCGUUGUCCGGAAUUAUUGGGCGUAAAGAGCUCGUAGGCGGUAUGUCGCGUCUGCUGUGAAAGACCGGGGCUUAACUUCGGUUUUGCAGUGGAUACGGGCAUGCUUGAGGUAGGUAGGGGAGACUGGAAUUCCUGGUGUAGCGGUGAAAUGCGUAGAUAUCAGGAGGAACACCGGUGGCGAAGGCGGGUCUCUGGGCCUUACCUGACGCUGAGGAGCGGAAGCAUGGGUAGCCAACAGGAUUAGAUACCCUGGUAGUCCCU
rnacentral:rRNA from 1 species